rnacentral:rRNA from 1 species
UACGGGGGGAGCAAGCGUUGUUCGGAUUUACUGGGCGUAAAGGGCGCGUAGGCGGCGUGACAAGUCACUUGUGAAAUCUCCGGGCUUAACCCGGAGCGGCCAAGUGAUACUGUCGUGCUAGAGUGCGGAAGGGGCUACUGGAAUUCUCGGUGUAGCGGUGAAAUGCGUAGAUAUCGAGAGGAACACCUGCGGCGAAGGCGGGUUGCUGGGCCGACACUGACGCUGAUGCGCGAAAGCCAGGGGAGCGAACGGG